CAGGGGCACUUCUCGUGCACAAUAUCUUAAAAUGUAUCAUAUAAAUAAAUAAAGCCAUACGUUGAUUAAGAUAUGGUAUAUAUCUCUUGUUUAUCAUUAACAUUUAAUAGGAUGGCACAUCAGAUUUUUGUCUAAAUGACAUGUCUUAAAUACAAUGUUUGGUGAAACAUUGAGACUGUCCUAGCAGAAAUAUACAGGGUAGUUCCCCAAAGUGUGUCUGUAUCAAAAAAAAAAAUCGAGGAAGUGUGUCUGUAUCAGUUAAACCAAGGCGGUGCUAUUAAGUGUUGGUUGUACCGGCAAAAUUUAGUGCUCCGCGAUUUCGCAUGUUGUGUCCAUGACUAACGACUUGGCUACUCUCGGCGUACGUCCGCAUAUUUUCUCUUUCUUUUCCCUAAAGACCAAGGACCAAAAUGUUCCAGCUUUACUAAGGAACGGUAGCACGAUACCAUA
rnacentral:lncRNA from 1 species